GCAGAUAAUUUAAGAUUUUUCUAGCCAAAAGUUGUUCUCCCGCUUCCAUUGUAACAAAGCAGCAGUCGUCGUCUCCUCCACCAAGUUCCCUCGCAUCGUUUCCAUCGCAAGGUCGCCGGUCACCCUCGCCCCAUCGUGUCCAUCGUCUCUAGGUUGUAACCGCCGCAAGGUCGCCGUUCGCACAGCCCUCUCGCGACAUCGCCGCAAGGUCGCCGGUCGCACAGCCGCAAGAUCGCCGGAAGGGGAACUCAACGAUGACAAUCAUUUAUAUGGCUGUGCAGAAGAAUGACUUUUUCAUGCAAAGAUAUGGAUUUUCAUCACCCGUGAAUCCUUGGGAUGUCAUCCAGUUCUCUGGAAAUGCACAAAUUCAUAUCCGUUUUUAACAGAUCUGGCCUUCCAGAAGAUUAUUACCACAGUAGUAAUGUUCAUGUUUCUUUUCCUCAUUAGCUGUUACUGCUCUAUUUUUGAUUGAUUACUAAUGUUUAGAACUUUAGAGUGUUCAUAUGAUACUUGAAGCAGGUAAGCUAUCAAACGAGGGAGCAGUUAUAGCAGCAGCAAGAACAUUGCCUACUUGGUCAGAUAGAGACAUGCCCCCAAUUCCUAGGUAUUAACUCAUAUUGUUAUACUCAUAUGAUAAAUGCAGGAGUCCCCUUCUGCCAUUUAACUCAAAACUAGUAGAUUUUUUCUGCUGCAAUUUAAAUUUAUGGCUUGUAAUAGCUUGCAUUAAAUGGCUUAUGCAUUAACUUAAAACUAUCUAUUCUAUUUGCAGUA